CCCUUAGAUGUUCUGGGCCGCACGCGCGCUACACUGACGAUGGCAACGAGUUUUUCCUUCGCCGAAAGGUGUGGGUAAUCUUUUGAAACAUCGUCGUGCUGGGGAUAGAUCAUUGCAAUUUUUGAUCUUGAACGAGGAAUUCCUAGUAAGCGCGAGUCAUCAGCUCGCGUUGAUUACGUCCCUGCCCUUUGUACACACCGCCCGUCACUACUACCGAUUGAAUGGUUUAGUGAGGACUCCUGAUUGGCGCCGCCGCCCCGGCAACGGAGCAGCGGACUGCCGAAAAGUUGUUCAAACUUGAUCAUUUAGAGGAAGUAAAAGUCGUAACA
rnacentral:rRNA from 1 species